UGGACAGGCAGGGUCAGGGUUCACCCCAGCUCCUGGGGCAGCAGCCCCCCCCCCGCCCCCCACAUGGCAGAUCCAUUUCCUGGCUCUAAUUCAGGACACCUAAGCCAGUGUGACGCAGGCCACGGAGGCUACGGGGCCAAGGCACCCCUGCUCUCGGCCACAGACAGGCCUGGCAGAGCUGCGCUAGGGAGACAGGCUCCCUCCUCCUCCUGAGCCGGGCCAAGGACUUGGGCACCAGGGCUACGGGAGCCAGAGGACACCUGAUCCUGCCCUACCUCACCACCCAGGGACCAUCCCCAACCAGGGGCCAUCUGAGGCUCUGAGGCCACCGCAGCAGCAGGGAGCGCAGAGGCCCCCACCCCACGGCGGCUUCUGCAUUCUUGAAAGCCUUGCAGAAGCCCUCACUCGCCUGGAGCCCGAGCUGGGAGCUGGAGCCCAAGAGGCCCUGCCAAGCGCGGGUAGCACCCUCGCCAGGGAAAGCUGCUGUCACAGGCAAACAUUCUGGGGAGAGCAGUUGUUUACCACCAACGCCGGGCACUGUCAAGGCAUCCUCAAGGAAAUUAAAUCUGCAAAGUUGUGAACGACACAAAGGAACCCCCUCCCCAGACUCCCAGAUGCUUCAUCCCCAAGGAUGGGGCUGCUCCGUUGGCUGGUUCUGGGAGGAUGCACCCAGAGCUGCAGAAAUGGGCGGCUGAGUGGGACGGGGCAGCCGUGAGCCGGAAUCAGGAGCCAGGACCCUGAGCUCUGCCUCCCUCGGCCACCAGCCCUCCCGUCUCUGGGACUCAUUCUGCUCAUCUGCACAAUGACAGACACACAUUCCGAUUCAAUAAGGCCUGGUGGGUCUGGUGGGACAGAGGUAACCUCCAAGCUGUCUGUCCCCAGAGCCUGCCAGGAACACAGAGAGCCUGAAGCUGAACCCAGCACCUCUGCUGCACCCACUGGAGGACUUUGGGUGAUGCCAUCAGCCUGCUUCCCGUAGACCAGAGUUCACACCCAUACCUUGUGGCUCCCUUGGGUCCUUGUGGCCCUUAUUUGGAUUGCUACAUAUGACCUCUUCUCUCUAACUCAGAUUUCCACACAGGUGCAGGGCCCUGGGCACAGCUUGGACCCAAGCUAGCAAAGAGUAGCCUGCCCAGAAAGGCUUGCUGACCAGCAGAAUCAAGACCCAAAUGAGUAAAUACAAAUACAGCUGUCCCUGCUCAGGGACCAGCCCUGACUCCCCGUCACCGGCAUGUCCCACUGCCAAAUUCCCAAGCCAUCCAAGUCCUUCACUCAUGAGCUAUGUUCAGUCCUAGAAGUCUCUCACACCCUCCAUACCCCAGACAUUCCACAAUCAACCUUCCCUGGACUUCCAUGGCCCAGGGCCUUUGCAUAUACCAGGGAUUUCUCUAUCCAGCAAAGUCCUGCUCUGGGUCAAGCUCCAGUUUGCCCUUUGUAACUGUUGUGCACUAGACUGAAUUCUGGUCACAUCUGUUCUGAACUAAAUGGGGACAUCAUGAAGAUAAAUAGGAUUCCUCUCAUCGACACAUGGCACACAGGGUCAGAGUGAGCCUUAAACUUGACUGCAUACAGACUGACCACCCCAGGUUUCAGCUAGCUACCCAGAAACAGUUCAUCCUAAUAGCUAACCUGCAUAGCUCCUGCUGUAAUUUUGAAAACCAUUCCCUGGAUACUGGGUGCGAUAUUUUCAGCCAAGUGUAGAUGAGACUGUAUUCUUAGAGCUCCGGAGCCGAGGGAAGGAGCAGGCUUGGGAAUUUCCAGGCAAACGCCAGCAGAAAUUGGCCACAAAUGAAUCAUUAACUUUUGAGUCGAGAGCUCUGAGUAGCUGGUGCCAAGGUCUCAGGCUCUGGCCUGUGUGGGCCACUUGGCCUCCCUUGGCUCAGGCCUGAGGUCACCCCCCCUCCGCCCCUGCUGGCCAUCUGCUUCACCCCACAGCCACUGGUCAUCGAGAGCCGGAGCCAUCCGAGCCAGAGCUGCCCAGAUGUCUUAUGGGAGAGGUCCGCCUUUCCCCGGGAAGGACUCCAAACUGUGCCCACACACUCGUGUCCUUCUGGAAUGCUGUCCCUUCCAGUGAGCUCAGCUCUUUGUCCUUCAAGGUCUGGCUCUGGCCCAGCCUGCCUCCGCUCUUGCCCCUGCACCUGGGCCCACCUUGGCCCCAUGACCUCUGAGCUCUUGCAGCCCUGGCCAUGUCCGCAUGCUGCCCUCUGCCUGCCCUGGCCUGGGUGCCAGAGCCUCAUUUCUCUGUUGAAGCCCCUGCCAGGAUAGGGCCUCUGCAUCCUCUUCUGGAUCUUGGCAGCUGGCCGGGGUGGGCACAGGCUGGGAGGUCACACCAUAUGGGCUCACUCAUGGGCUCCUUCUGGGCCAGCACCUACGGGGCUGCUAGGGGGGUCUCCAGCCCACACCUGGCUCCAGUGGGUCAUCAUGCUUCCUCCUGGGCCUCCUUUCAGGGCCUCUGUGGUCUGAAGGAGGCAAGUAACCGGACCGCAGCUCCCCCCGCCCACCCCGUAGCAGGACUGGGUGGUGCCAAACACUGGUUUCUCAGUAGUCAGCAGAGAUCAGAACCAACCACCUCCUUCCCCAGGUACCAUGCUGCAGCUGGGGCUGCUGGCUGUACGGCAGCCCCUUGCGCUCCCUGAGGAAGGGCUUGGAUUCUUCUCCAGUGGGACUGCUGGACAUCUAGAAGCACAGAGGAUACCUCAGCAGCAGGCAUCCUGCUCUGAAGGCACACCAUUCUCCACGUGCUCACCGGACCAGACUUAGUGGCCCCUCACAUGGCGAGAAGCCCUGCUCUAACCAGCCUCCUGACUGCCUCUCCCUUCCCCCAUGGGGCCUGGUACCUCUGCCCUCGCCUGCCCAUGGAGCGCUCCUUCUCUUUCUCUGAGUGCACACCCCUGCCCUUCUACACUGGGAACUGCUCCUGACCACCCUCACCUGGUACAGCCCACCCAAUGAAGAGAGAAGACCCCCUUCCUGACCCAGGCACUGUGAGCCUCAGCAUCCCUACUAUGGACUCACGUGGUAUUUAUGCCCGUUUAUUAAUGAAGACGCAGAGACACAGAGAUUAAAAGUGGCCAGAAGUCACGUGACCAUUUGGCUUCUGAAGUCUCAUCCACGAGGCUACAAAAACUCCAAGUGAAUGAAUAAGUAAACUCAUAAGUGAGAUUUAAAUACCA